UACGAAGGGGGCUAGCGUUGCUCGGAAUUACUGGGCGUAAAGCGCACGUAGGCGGAUUGUUAAGUCGGGGGUGAAAUCCUGGAGCUCAACUCCAGAACUGCCUUCGAUACUGGCGAUCUCGAGUUCGGGAGAGGUGAGUGGAACUGCGAGUGUAGAGGUGAAAUUCGUAGAUAUUGGGAAGAACACCGGUGGCGAAGCGGCGACCUGGUCCGAUACUGACGCUGAGGCGCGAAAGCGUGGGGAGCAAACAGG
rnacentral:rRNA from 1 species